rnacentral:rRNA from 1 species
GACGAACCGUACGAACGUUAUUCGGAAUCACUGGGCUUAAAGGGUGCGUAGGCGGCGCGACAAGUUGGGUGUGAAAUCCCUCGGCUCAACCGAGGAACUGCGCCCAAAACUGUCGUGCUCGAGGGAGACAGAGGUGAGCGGAACUUAGGGUGGAGCGGUGAAAUGCGUUGAUAUCCUAAGGAACACCGGUGGCGAAAGCGGCUCACUGGGCCUCUUCUGACGCUGAGGCACGAAAGCUAGGGUAGCGAACGGG